rnacentral:rRNA from 1 species
AUUGAACGCUGGCGGCAUGCCUUACACAUGCAAGUCGAACGGCAGCACGGGUGCUUGCAUCUGGUGGCGAGUGGCGAACGGGUGAGUAAUACAUCGGAACAUGUCCUGUAGUGGGGGAUAGCCCGGCGAAAGCCGGAUUAAUACCGCAUACGAUCCACGGAUGAAAGCGGGGGACCUUCGGGCCUCGCGCUAUAGGGUUGGCCGAUGGCUGAUUAGCUAGUUGGUGGGGUAAAGGCCUACCAAGGCGACGAUCAGUAGCUGGUCUGAGAGGACGACCAGCCACACUGGGACUGAGACACGGCCCAGACUCCUACGGGAGGCAGCAGUGGGGAAUUUUGGACAAUGGGCGAAAGCCUGAUCCAGCAAUGCCGCGUGUGUGAAGAAGGCCUUCGGGUUGUAAAGCACUUUUGUCCGGAAAGAAAUCCUUGGCUCUAAUACAGUCGGGGGAUGACGGUACCGGAAGAAUAAGCACCGGCUAACUACGUG